CUGUUGAAACUGCAUUUGGUCUACUUAAACAAAGAAGCAUUAUCUUCACUACAAAGCCCUGUAGUAGAUUGCAGCUAUAUUAGGCCAGUGAUGCAGAUGUAAAAUAACUGAUGUCAAUAAUAUCAUGUAAUAAUUUUUUUAUUGGACUGAGAUACUUUUGGAAUGACAAACAUUAAGGAGAACAUUCCUUUCUCAGUCUAAAACAUUUCUGAGCAAAAACGACACUAAGAAUUCAAAGUUAAGCCGUGAUACUGGGGUUAAAGACAUGAGUACAGAUAAGACACAGGUCUGAUAGAAAAUAGACACCAUUGUCACAAAGCUUUGUAAAUAUAAUUUGUAAGGUUAAGUGUGGGGGGGAGAGAGAAAACAAAAGAGUGCAGUAGAUGUUACUACAAGGUGG